rnacentral:rRNA from 1 species
UGGGGAAUAUUGGACAAUGGGCGCAAGCCUGAUCCAGCCAUGCCGCGUGAGUGACGAAGGUCUUCGGAUUGUAAAGCUCUUUUUGGCGGGGACGAUAAUGACGGUACCCGCAGAAUAAGCCCCGGCUAACUUCGUGCCAGCAGCCGCGGUAAUACGAAGGGGGCUAGCGUUGUUCGGAAUUACUGGGCGUAAAGCGCACGUAGGCGGACUGAUAAGUCAGGGGUGAAAUCCCAAGGCUCAACCUUGGAACUGCCUCCGAUACAGCAAGCCUAGAGAUCGGGAGAGGUGAGUGGAAUUCCUAGUGUAGAGGUGAAAUUCGUAGAUAUUAGGACGAACACCAGUGGCGAAGGCGGCUCACUGGCCCGAUACUGACGCUGAGGUGCGAAAGCGUGGGGAGCAAACAGGAUUAGAUACCCAAGUAGUCCCUGAGCGGGCUGGCAAGGCGCAU